rnacentral:rRNA from 2 species
UCUACGGGAGGCAGCAGUGGGGAAUAUUGCACAAUGGGCGAAAGCCUGAUGCAGCAACGCCGCGUGAGUGAAGAAGGUUUUCGGAUUGUAAAGCACUUUAAGUUGGGAGGAAGGGCAGUAAGUUAAUACCUUGCUGUUUUGACGUUACCAACAGAAUAAGCACCGGCUAACUUCGUGCCAGCAGCCGCGGUAAUA